UACGAAGGGGGCUAGCGUUGCUCGGAAUUACUGGGCGUAAAGCGCACGUAGGCGGCUUUCUAAGUCGGAGGUGAAAUCCUGGAGCUCAACUCCAGAACUGCCUUCGAUACUGGAGCUUGAGUCCGGGAGAGGUGAGUGGAACUGCGAGUGUAGAGGUGAAAUUCGUAGAUAUUCGCAAGAACACCAGUGGCGAAGGCGGCUCACUGGCCCGGUACUGACGCUGAGGUGCGAAAGCGUGGGGAGCAAACAGG
rnacentral:rRNA from 1 species